AUUGAACGCUGGCGGCAGGCCUAACACAUGCAAGUCGAGCGGAUGAAGGGAGCUUGCUCCUGGAUUCCGCGGCGGACGGGUGAGUAAUGCCUAGGAAUCUGCCUGGUUGUGGGGGAUAACGUCCGGAAACGAGCGCUAAUACCCCAUACGUCCUGAGGGUGCAAGUGAGGGAUCUUCGGACCUCACGCUAUCUGGUUAGCCUAGGUCUGAUUAGCUAGUUGGUGGGGUAAAGGCCUUCCAAGGCGACGAUCCGUAACUAGUCUGAGAGGAUGAUCAGUCACACGGGAACUGAGACAGGGUCCAGACUCCUACGGGAGGCAGCAGUGGGGAAUAUUAGGCGAUGGGCGAAAGGCUGAUACAGCCAUGCCGCGUGUGUGAAGAAGGUCUUCGGAUGGGAAAGCACUUUAAGUUGGGAGGAAGGGCAGUAAGUUAAUACCUUGCUGUUUUGACGUUACCAACAGAAUAAGCACCGGCUAACUUCGUG
rnacentral:rRNA from 1 species